rnacentral:rRNA from 1 species
CCUACGGGAGGCUGCAGUGAGGAAUAUUGGUCAAUGGGCGGGAGCCUGAACCAGCCAAGCCGCGUGAGGGAAGAAGGUACAGCGUAUCGUAAACCUCUUUUGUCAGGGCACAAAGGCUGGGACUAGUCCCCGGAUGAGGGUACCUUAAGUACAAGCAUCGGCUAACUCCGUGCCCGCAGCCGCGGUAAUACGGGGGAUGCGAGCGUUAUCCGGAUUUAUUGGGUUAAAAGGGUGCGCAGGGGGACUGUUAAGUCAGCGGGAAAAGCCCGGGGCUCAACCCCGGCGAGCCGUUGAAACUGGCGGGCUGGAGUUGGAGAGAAGCACGCGGAAUGCGCGGUGUAGCGGUGAAAUGCUUAGAUAUCGCGCAGAACCCCGAUUGCGAAGGCAGCGUACCGGAUACAAACUGACGCUGAGGCACGAAAGCGUGGGUAUCGAACAGGAUUAGAUACCCGAGUAGUC